CGGCAAGGAAAGUUGGAGAUUACACGACCACAGACAGUGGCUUGUGGAGAUGCAGCUGGUUUAAACAGCAUAUAUCCAGUUGGGAGAACAGAUGAAGAUUUACAUUCAAGAAAGAUAUGGACAUCCGCAUUGUCACGUGAAGAACAUGUUGCAACUGCUGGAAGCCUUCAAAGAAUAGCUGGUCUUUCACAGGGGAGGCAGAGGCGCUUUCUGAUGAUGGCACCAGAAAUUCUACAACUGACCGGACUGAUGACAAACUAUGCUUGCAGUCGACCCCAUGACUGGAGGAUAUAUAUGAGACAACGAGAUGCUCAAUUCAUUCUGAGGUGAAAAUAAUCAGUAAUAAUUGCUGUCACUUGUGCCAGGGUGGUGAUGACAGUACUGAAAUGCCUGUUGAUUUAACCGGAAAACGCUACCAGACUCCAAUGUCAAACAUAGACAAAAUGAGUUGUGCAGUUUAAGGGUUACUGCAUCAUUUUAUCAAAAAUAUUUAAAUAAUUUCUUAUACUUCAAACCCAUACAUUUAAUACAGCAUCAGGUUUGAUUUUUUUUUUUAUUGCAAAUAAUUAAGCUCCAGUACAGAAAUGUUCCCUUGACAUCUUGUUAAUUAAUGACAUGCUGUAAUGUCUCCAACCACCAAUAGAAAAACUGCCAAUAUAAUAAAUCAGACCACAAAUCUCGCA
ensembl:lncRNA